UACGUAGGGUGCGAGCGUUGUCCGGAAUUAUUGGGCGUAAAGGGCUCGUAGGCGGUUUGUCGCGUCGGGAGUGAAAACUCAGGGCUUAACCCUGAGCCUGCUUCCGAUACGGGCAGACUAGAGGUAUGCAGGGGGAGAACGGAAUUCCUGGUGUAGCGGUGGAAUGCGCAGAUAUCAGGAGGAACACCGGUGGCGAAGGCGGUUCUCUGGGCAUUACCUGACGCUGAGGAGCGAAAGCAUGGGGAGCGAACAGG
rnacentral:rRNA from 1 species